rnacentral:rRNA from 1 species
GACGAACGCUGGCGGCGCGCCUAACACAUGCAAGUCGAACGAGAGAUGAGGAGCUUGCUCUUCAAAUCGAGUGGCGAACGGGUGAGUAACGCGUGAGGAACCUGCCUCAAAGAGGGGACGAACAGUUGGAACGACUGCUAAUACCGCAUAAGCCCACGGCUCGGCAUCGAGCAGAGGGAAAGGAGUGAUCCGCUUUGAGAUGGCCUCGCGUCCGAUUAGCUAGUUGGUGAGGUAACGGCCCACCAAGGCAACGAUCGGUAGCCGGACUGAGAGGUUGAACGGCCACAUUGGGACUGAGACACGGCCCAGACUCCUACGGGAGGCAGCAGUGGGGAAUAUUGCACAAUGGGGGGAAACCCUGAUGCAGCGACGCCGCGUGGAGGAAGAAGGUCUUCGGAUUGUAAACUCCUGUUGUUGAGGAAGAUAAUGACGGUACUCAACAAGGAAGUGACGGCUAACUACGUG